rnacentral:lncRNA from 1 species
GGAUUGGGAUAUUCCGACUCCUUAAGGGCCUGGCGCACAUAAGGUGUGACCUUUUCAUUCCCGUUGUUAUGGAGGGCCACAUCUGCCAGAGCCUGGAGUCUGCGAAGGCCGGGACCCGGUUCCCCGGCCCACAGUGGGGGUGUUGCAAAUUCGUGAAGAAUCAGCAUCAUGUUUGGCAGCUGAGUAUUGGAGCCAGGAGCCUGCCAUGAGGUUUUGAGAACAGAGUGCUGUUUUAGAGCUGGCAGCAGCAUCUCAGCCCAAGAGAAGGUUAUAUUCCCAGAGGAUGUCAGUCCCAAGGACCAGUAGCUGCCAUCAGUUUGGAUUCUGAAAACUAACUGGCAUCAACACUGGGUGUAGAAACAUGCUUGCCUUAUGUAUCAGAGGACAUGCUCAGCAGAUCCAAGAGAUAUAUUUGGCAACUUUUUCUAGAAAAGGCACAUUGGGUAUCAUUCAUUACAUUCUUGAGUUUUUUUGGGUUUUUUUUUUUUUUUUUGAGACAGUCUUGCUGUAUUGCCCAGGCUGGAGUGUGGUGGCACAAUCACAGCUCAUUGCAUCCUCAAUCACCCAGGCCUAAGCAAUCCUCCCACCUUGUAGCUGGGACUACAGCUCACAGCACACCUGGCUAAAAUUUUUUUUUUGUUGAGACGGAUUCUCUAUGUUGCCCAGGCUGGUCUCAGGCUCCUGGGCUCAGAUGGUCCUCCUGCCUCAGCUUCCAAAGGCACAGGCCAAGUUGUAGCUUUGUCCCUUGCCAUCAUGCCCAACAAGAGGUUCUAUACCUUUUAAUGAAUUGACUUUCAUAAAUUGGUUAUGUUGGUGGGCAAAGUUCUUUAAGCUGGAAAUUGUAAAUUCCUCCUGAAAUGUUUUUUCAUGCAGUUACCAUGAACUAAUACUACAAUAAAGGAUGGUCUUGGGUGUCAAUUCUUGAAAA